CCUAUGGGAACGAAGGGUGUAUGGUGGAUGCCUUGGCUUCAAGAAGCGAUGAAGGACGUGAUAUGGCUGCGAUAAGGUUCGGGGAGGCGCCAAAUAGCCUUUGAUCCGGACAUGUCCGAAUGGGGAAACCUCACAAGUUACGCUUGUGGCCGGUGUAUGCCGGCGCUUACCUGGGGAAGUGAAACAUCUCAGUACCCAGAGGAAGAGAAAGCAAUAUUGGAACUUUCUUUCUGAACAGAUGCUUUGCAUCUAGUUCAGGGAGCAAUUCCUGGACGAUGGGCGACCAAAUUUUUAAGGAGCGAAAGCGACUAUAAAAAUGGAAGUGCCCUGGUGGUGCAUUGCUCCAUUAUGUUCAGGAAGAAGGUUCUUGCGAUUCCCGGAGUAGCGGCGAGCGAAAGGGGAAUAGCCCAAACCAUACGUAUUUAUAUGUAUGGGGUUGUAGGGCGGAGUUUGCAUUUAGUUGCGACAAGUUACAAAACAGAUAUAUAGGAAAACGAGUUGGGAAGCUCGACCCCAGAAGGUAAUAGUCCUGUAUUCGAAAUGUAUCUGACUUGUUUGAUUCCGUUCCUGAGUAGCCCGAGACAUGAAUAGCUCGGGUGAAUCUACCAGAACUAACUGGUAAGGCUAAAUAUUCUUGGAGACCGAUAGUGAACUAGUACCGUGAGGGAAAGGUGAAAAGAACCCCGGAGAGGGGAGUGAAAUAGAUCUGAAACCAUACAUCUACAAGGAGUCGAAGCCCUGCGGGGCGACGGCGUGCCUAUUGAAGAAUGAGCCGGCGAGUAUUUGAUAACUGCUUUAGGUUAAGGCAUUUCGUGCCGAAGCCGUAGUGAAAGCGAGCCUGAAUAGGGCGAUUUAGUUGGCAGGAUUAGACCCGAAACCGGGUGACCUAACCAUGAGCAGGCUGAAGCUUCUGUAACAGGAAGUGGAGGGCCGAACCGUAGUCCGCAGCAAAGGGCCCGGAUGACUUGUGGUUAGCGGUGAAAUGCCAAUCGAACCCGGAGAUAGCUGGUUCUCCUCGAAACAGUUUUAGGACUGGCGUCAUGUAGUAGCAGUCGGGGGUAGAGCUCUGUAAAGGACUGGGGGGAGCAAUCCUACCCACCCUUAACAAACUACGAAUACCGACUGUGUAAUCAUGGCAGUUAGAACGGCGGAGCUAAGUUCGUCGCUCAAAAGGGAAACAGCCCAGACCAUCGUCUAAGGUCCCUAAAUUAUCACUAAGUGGGAAACAAGGUGAGAUUUCUUAAACAGCUAGGAUGUUGGCUUAGAAGCAGCCAUUCAUUUAAAGAGUGCGUAACAGCUCACUAGUCAAGAGAUCUUGCGUGGAAAAUGUAACGGGGCUAAGUGAUAUACCGAAGACAUGGAUGCGUAUUUAUACGCGUGGUAGAGGAGCGUUCCUAUCUGCAGUGAAGCUGGACUGGAAAGUACAGUGGAGCGUUAGGAAGUGAGAAUGCUGGAAUGAGUAACCAUAAGAUAGGUGAGAAUCCUGUCGGCCGUAAGAGCAAGGUUUCCUGAGCCAUGGUAAUCAUCUCAGGGUUAGUCGGGCCUAAGCCGAGGCGCAUAGCGUAGGCGAUGGACAUCAGGUUAAUAUUCCUGAACCGGCGUAGUUUGCACACUGUUCACGGUGAGAUAUUCGAAGCGGAUUCAUGGUAUGUAUCCGUCCAACCUAGGGGGAACCCAAUGGGAGUGAAAGUUACUCUUUGGAGUGACGAUUUUGGAAAAGGCACUGGCUAGAAAAGCAGAUGUGCGCAAAGACUAUGUCCGCCCGUACCGCAAACCAACACAGGUGCUCGAGUCGAGUAGACUCAGGCUUACGAGAGAACCUUCGCUAAGGAACUCGGCAAUACAGCGACCGUAACUUCGGGAUAAGGUCUGCCCCCACUUCGGUGGAUAUGUGCCGCGUAUACUCAGCGAGAGUAUUGAAACAAGGUUAAAUCGUGCAAGUGUAAUGACUUGCACAUGAGUACGCCACAUAUCUUUUUUCAAAGAUAGCGUGGUCGAAAAAUCCUUUUUAUGACAUAAAUUUUAUAUUCUUUUUUCAAGGUGAUUUUGCGAUCAAAUCGAGCGAAAUUUGUGCAGAUUUUUGAAGAGUAGCAGUAGCUACGCUGAGAAGAGCUAAGCAAAUUGCAGCCGAUUUAGCGUGAAAUAAACGAAAAAUAGAAUGUGAAAAUUAUGUCCAACCAAUAUUUUUUACUGAGAUAGAGCAAUAAUGAUUUUUUAAAUCGGAAAUGUUCUUUUGUACGCGAUACUCACACAUCUAACGAUGUGGGGGCCGCAGCAAAAGAGCCCACGGAACUGUUUAUCAAAAACACAGGUCUCUGCUAACACGAAAGUGGAUGUAUAGGGGCUGACUCCUGCCCGGUGCUGGAAGGUUAAGUGGAGUUGUUAGCUUCGGCGAAGCAAUGAAAUGAAGCCCCAGUAAACGGCGGCCGUAACUAUAACGGUCCUAAGGUAGCG
rnacentral:rRNA from 1 species